GCCGAAGUGGCGAAACUGGUAAACGCGCAGGACUCUAAAUCCUGUUGUUCGGGGUAGCCUUUGACU
rnacentral:tRNA from 1 species